UACAAUAAAACACAAUUAAAAUACAUGUAAUUUCUUGCUAUUUUCUGAAGGUCAUAAAUAUAUGCAAUUUCUUUGUAAAAUAUUCUGCAUCAUAUCUCAAAGGAGAUGCUUAUUAACAAUUUAGACCUAAAAGGAUAGACACUAAAACAUUAGAAGUGGCUAGAGAAUGCUUGACAAUUACAGUUUAAGGUGAAAAAGUAUCUUGAAACAACGCAAAGACCUGUUUGAGAGGAAUGCUGAAAACAAAUUGGAUACUUAAAGUUUAUUAAUUUAAUAUGGCCCCCUUAUAGACUAUUACAUUUCCUUACAUUAAAAUACUUGCUUAAUAAGUAACAAUAAAGCGUUAAUUUGUGCUUCACUUUAAUCUGUUUCAGACAGUAUAGGAUUAAAGAAUAUCCACCUUUACUUCAGAGACUUGAACAUUUGCAGGGUCUUUGACUUUUAACUUAUUGCUUGUGCUUGUCAAACUUAUAUCUGUGAGAAAUGGAAUAUGCAGAUAAAAAUUACGCAUGUUUUUCACGAAUUAAUUUCACGCUAACAUCUUACAGAUAUUCAUAAAUUUGGAAUGGUGAUAUUCUAAAGUAGAAAAUACAAGAAUAGAAAUUUGUAGGUUAAUUUCUAUAUGGAAUUGUACAGAACGCAUAUUUCCUUGUAUAGAGGUUACAAAAGCUAUUGUAGCGUAACCCAGGACUGUACCUGUUAUCCUAUCAUGAAUCAUACAUUAGCUGAGUUUUAAAUUUUGCAUAUUUUUCUCCUCAAAAGAUAAAUCACAGGACAGUUCACUUUUGUUAUAUUAGCAGCUUAAUAAUGAUUAGAAAUGAGAACCACAAAUGUACAUCUGUGGGUCUGAGCAUUGGAAGACGUUGAUGUACAUAUUACUUGUCGAUGUAAGGAAAAUAAAUAUUAAAUGUAACUCAUACUAGUGAGAUAAGAAUGUUUGCAAAAUAUUUCUAGAAGUGUUAUAGGCAUCUUCUUUUUAUUUAAUAUAACUUUGGAAUUGCUUACUUUGAGUCUUAUCAGUUGCCUUGGAUUUUUUUCUCUAUGAUAGCUAGUGCUAAAUCUGUAAGUUGAAAUCUUGUUUCUCUUUCCCCUUCUUUAGAAACAAAUUAAUCAGUGGCAUAAUCAUCAUAUAUGCUUCUCAUUAGAGCAAUACAGAAAUACCUGGGAGUUGACGCCCAAUUUUCACAGCAACGUAAAGAGUGGAUCUCUGACGCUUUCUCAUAAAUGGUGAUCGGUAAAAACUAGACACAAGAGAAAGAAGAAUGUGGACCUGAGUAUACUAUCUGCUAGUUGACUCCCCUUUUCUCUUCCCCUUCUCUCUUUUUCAUACAUCUGUUACUCCUGGUUUUUAUUCCGUUCUUACGUUAAUUUAAAUGAUUGCUAUGAUUAGCAAUACUGGAUGCCACUUCAGUUGAUUCAAUAAAAUGUUUUGUUUCUCUCCCUGCUCAGGAAGGGAAACUUAAAAUGACAAAUGUUUCAGAAACAAAGGAACUUCUUAUUGUACUAUAUUAGCACAGUUAUAGAUAAACACUGAUUUUCUUAAAGUUGUUGUUUCCCCCAUGUGUUUUUUAACUUUUAUUAAACCUGUUUGUGAUAUAUAUGCAGUAUAUAAGCUCAUCCCCAAAGAAAAAUUGCUGCAUUGAAUCGCCUGUAUAUAGGGCUGCCUAUAUUUCUCCAAAAUUAGAAAAUUCUGCAUCCAGCUUUCUUACAGAAGUGAAGAAAACAAAGUCUGACUCACCACUGUCAGUAAAUUUCAGUUUACGGUGAAACAGAGGAGUAAAUUCCAUGAAACUGAUGAAAGUUAUACUAAAAUGCUUGUGUAUAAAGCUCUAUUUUCUUUGCAUUUUCUGUAUAUUAAUAAAGAAUAGUCUGCUAAUACUUUACAAAAGGAGAAGUUUUUUUAGUUGAUUGGGAAUUUAUUGACGCUGAAAUUCACUGCAAAUAUUUUGUGUGAACAGGAAGAAGCAGCAGCACCAAUUAGCUUGCAGCCCAAAUGCACAGUAAAGGAAAAGGAGUUGCAAAACAUGGACACCUGGGAUCAUUUUCUGGCUACUGAAGUGCACAUAGCAGCCAAACCCUCUUACUGCCUUCUCUUUCCAUCAUCCUGCACUGGUCUCCCCAUACUUACAGAAUGAGCUAGUAGUUUAUCACUUGGGAGCCACUGAAAUUGACUUUGAUCAAGCUGUAGAGACAAGGUAUACUUCUUGACCCUUCGCUGUUCCCGAGCACUGUUUAUCAGGAAGAUUUGUUUUUCAUUAAAGCCGAGUAAGACCAGCUAACAAUAGGAAUGAGUUUUUUUCCCAGGUUGACUCACAGCUGCUGUUAUCUAGUCCAAAGAUGACAUUUUCAAGUUGCUUCUAAAUAUCAUGAGGAAGAUGGUUCCUUUUUAGUUUCCUUAGAGCCUCAUCUAUUUAGAAUAAAUAGCAAAUGUGCCAAACAGUUUGUUCAAAAGGAAUUAUAAUGAAUAGUACCACUUUCUGUGUUCUUAUGCAGAGCCAAAAAGUGCAGCUUCUUCCAUUCCUUUGCAAGUUCCAAUUCAGCACCAAAGUAGCUAGGCAGUAGAUAAUAGAUCAUCGUGGUCUCAAAGUGCUCAGAAGUGGCAUGUAGAGACCAGAGUGUCUUGUCUCGUCCUUCACCAGAUAAGGAACAGGUGAAAAAGUAGCUCUUAAGUCUGCGAGAUGGGCUACUGCUGCUUCUCUCUGACCGCACGGGGAUUCCACAGGACCUGAGGAGCCCAGGAGCUGUACUUCAUUUCCUCUUGAACAAUGCUGACUAGAAAGCUGCACCUGUCAGCAAAAAGGGAAUGCCAGACUCAAGAGCUGUCACUGGGAGGAAAAAGAUGAUUAGAUGGAUUCAUUGACCACUCAAAAUGAAGAGGCUAUGCAUACUCCACAGUUCACUUCUGGCCCAUUCCUUGGACUGCGUAAGUUUUCUCCAGUGCAAGAUCUUUUCCUCCAAGAAGGAUCAUUCUCUGCUGAAGUGGCCUUCCACUAUGGUACAGAAUAGUUUAAAUGCUUCAGAAGAGUACUGGUCAGGGGCAGGCCUAGUUACCUGACUCCGUAAUUCCCUUGAUGCUUGAAAGUCAUGAGGCCAAAAGGCUGAAACGCAAUCAAGUGUAAACAAAGCACUUAGGGGAAAUCUUAAAGGCUAUUUGGGAACCACUUUUCGGGAUAGUAGUGAGUCCUCCUUUCAGCCCCAUGCACAACAAAAGAAAAACUGCCUUGUGGCCAGAAAGUUAAUACAUAUGCUGCAAGGGGAUUUCAGACUUUAAUAUGAGAAACAUGUAGUGCUUCCUUUUAGUAUGAGAUAUGAGUAGCUAUCUCAUGAAAGAAAAAUGAUGUUUUACUCUUUCCUGGAAUAUAUAGUUCCUUAAUGACGUGACUAAGUUAUGAUCACAUUUCCAAAACACAUUCUUAAAAUUUGCUAAAUGGCAUAAAAUGUAUGGUAUUUGUCUUGUAUUCAAAGAUUUUUUGUACAUUGAGAUUUGUACUAUCAAUUGGUGAAACUUAAUUUUUCACAAGAUAAGAGCUGGCUUAUGGCAGGCAUAUUGUGAAUAUGAAUGUAUUUGCCUGUCUGUUACUUGACCUUAUAUAGUAAAACUGCAGCUAUUUCCUCAGAUGGUGAGGGACAGCCACAGAAGAAUGCAGUCAGUUUGUGGUUAUGGAUUAGGCAAAGGGUAUUCUGAAAAACAGGAUGCUCAACAGUCACACAUUUACAUGAAUGGUGUCAUAUUUCAAAUCUAAUUUUCAGUAAGACAGAAGUCCUCAGAGAAGAUGACUGGAGGCAGACAUUUUGGCAGUCCCAACUGAUCAACUGGAUUUCUUGAGCAUAAAAAACAUGAAAAUAAGAAUUAAUAAUAUUACUUGAAGUGGAAAUGAAAAA